CUUUUGUCUUUUUAUGGCUGCACCCGAAGCAUAUGGAGGUUCCCAGGCUAGGAAUCUAAUUGGAGCUGUAGUCACCGGCCUACACCACAGCCACAACAACUGGGGAUCCGAGCCUUGUCUGCGUCUGUGGCCUACACCAUGCUCACGGUGAUGCCGGAUCCUUAACCCACUGAGCAAGGCCAGGGAUCAAACCCGUAACCUCAAGUUUCCUAGUCAGAUUCAUUUCCACUGUGCCAUGACGGGAACUCCAAGAAUGAAUUAUUAUUAUUAUUAUUAUUUUGUCUUUUUGCCUUUUUCUAGGGCCACUCCCUCGGCAUAUGGAGGUUCCCAGGCUAGGGGUCUAAUUGGAGCUGUAGCCUCUGGCCACAGCCACAGCAACUUGAGAUCCAAGCCACGUCUUUGACCUACACCACAGCUCAUGGCAACACCGGAUCCUUAACCCACUGAGCAAGGCUAGGGAUCGAACCCACAACCUCAUGUUCCUAGUCAGAUUCAUUAACCACUGAGCCACGACGGGAACUCCAAGAAUGAAUUAUUUUUAAUGGCCGCAUCUGUGGCAUAUAUGAAAGUUCCCAGGCUAGGGGUUGAAUCGGAGCUCCAGCUGCCAGCCGACACCACAGCCACAGCAACACCAGAGCCAAGCUGCGUCUGCAACUUGCACCACGGCUCACAGCAACACCAGAUCCUUUAACCCACUGAGCGAGGCUAGGGAUCCAACCUGCUUCCUCAUGCAUGCUAGUUGGGUUCUUAACCCACUGAGCUACAAUGGGAACUCCUGAUCAUUUCAAUAGAUGCAAAAAAUGCUAAAAGCCACCCUUCAUCGUUGAAGAAAUAAAGAAAAGAGGAAUGAAAGAAGGAAGGCUGUAUGGAUGGCAGGGAGAGAAAAAAAGAGAAAUCUAGAAUAUAAGGGAACUUAAGUUUGGGGGUUACACAUAGAAGAACGAUAGUUAAUGUUGUAUGUAACAAUGAAAUGUUAAGUCAUUCCCUUAGACAAGAAAGUUCACUAUCAGCACUUUUCAUUAACACGCGACUGGAAGUUCUAACCACAGUAGUAGUAAGAAAUAAAAGCCAUAAUAAUUGGAAAGGAAGAAACAAAACUGUCAUUAUUUAAAGAUAUUUAUUUCCUAAUAGAAAAUCCCAAGAAUUGAGAAAAAGAAUUAAAUUUUUCAAAAUAGAAAGUUUAGCACUGUUGUCAUAUAUUAUCAAUAUACUGAUUUCUACUGCAUUUUCAGAGACCAGGAUCAAAGUCUAUCACCAAUUUUACUCGAGAAAUGGUCCCCAAGUUCAGGGGCCCAGACUCACUUCAGCUCUCCAGAAGAGGCUUCACACAUAGUCAAAAUUUCCAGCUGGGGCUCUCUGUUUUUUUCUUUAAGGAAAGCUUUUAAAGAGGAUAGUCACAGUUAAUGUCAUCAGGAAGACAGACAGCGUAAGUGGAGAUCUGGUUGCUAACGCUUUGUCUCGGUCUAUUUUCCCUUAAUAACCGUUUCAACACUAUCAGCCUGAAUGAAGACAAAGAAGAUCCAAAGAGAUAUAAAAUAUGCACCGUUAAGAAGACUUGGUAUGAUUCAUUACAUUUGAGUUCAAAUAACUGCAUUCGGAAAAGGAUAAAUGGAGAAGGGCUGGUUUAAUAAGCCCUCUAGUGAUAAAAGCCCUGGGAACUGUUGUCAAUUAUCUAUGUUUCUCGGGUUAAAAAAGAAAAAAGAAAAAAAGAAAAAGACAGCGUGUCUGAACACUGGUAAAUUAAAAGUCCAGAGAAGAAUGAUAAGAGCCAAAUUAGAUAAAGAAGCUAUGAUACUUGAGUCUGUAGAAGCAAAGAUUCACAGGGGAACCCAAGUGAGAGCUUUCUUCUAAUGUUUAUUCUUCUAAUGUUUAAAGUGGGUGGGCCACUGCAGUUCCUGUCUAGGAACCAUAAGGUUGUGGGUUUGAUUCCUGGCCACACUCAGCGGAUUAAGGAUCUGGUGUUGCUGUGGGCUGUGCUGUAGGUUGCAGACAUGGCUUGGAUCCUGCAUUGCUGUGGCUGUGGCGUAGGCCAGAGGCUACAGCUCUGAUUUGACCUCUAGUCCGGGAAAUUCAAUAUGCUGCGGGUACAGCCCUAAAAAGACAUAAAUAAAACAGAAAGUUCAAAUUAAUGAUGUGCAUUUGGUGCAGUGCCUAUCAUGUAAAAAGCCACAAACUCAGCUCCAAUUGUUUUUUUCUAUUCAAAAUGCCAGCCCAUUAUAGCAAUACAAUCUCACCUCAGCAAACAAGAAAAAUUCCAAAUAAACAACCUAAACUUACACCUAAAACAACCAGAGAAAGGAGAACAAACAAAACCCAAAGUCAGUAGAAAGGAAGAAAUAAAGAUCAGAGCAGAAAUAAAUGCUAACAAAAUGCCAGCCCAGCAUUGAUGGAACAUCACAUUUUUUAAAGAAAAGCUGAAAAUACAGAUUUUUACAAGAAAUCUGUAUUUUUAAUUUUUUUUUUUUUAAGGGCCGCACCUAGAGCAUAUGGACAUUCCCAGGCUAGGGGUCAAAUCGGAGCUCCCUGAAAAACAAAACAAAAAAUAAAUACAGAGAAAUGAAAUUAAACCUAAAUAUUCUGGAACCAUUUCCAGCGUGGGGGUGUGGUUUCUUUCCACACAGAAGCAAAGAGUGAUUUUUCCAACAGCAGCUGGGGGUCCAACCGUUCAACUCUAUUCCAACACCAUUUACCCCGAGACGGCAUCAGACACCACAAGUUAAGGGCUCAGUCUCACAUCCAGCUCAUUACCUGUACUUCUAACCAACUGGCUAUAAAACAGAAGCUUCCGCAACCCCCUCCUUGGGUUCAAUUAACUUGCAAGACCAGCUCUCAGAAUUCAGAAAACCAAUUUACUCACCAGAUGACUGGUUUAUUACAGGACGAUGUUAAAAGGAUUCGAACCAACAGCCAGAUGAAAAGAUAUGCAAGGCGAGGUCCUGGACAAAGGAACUUCUGUCCUUUUGGAGUUUGGAACCACAGUGGCAUGUGGAGGCGUUCUGCUUCACCCACCUGGAAGCUCUCCAAAACCCUUUCCUUUGGAAUUUUGCGGAGGCUUCAGGACCAGGAAGAGUUGAUUAAAGCCACUGGCGUUGGCGAUUAAUUCAACGUCCAGACAUUUUCUCCUCCUCCGCAAUCAGGGGGUGGGACUGAGAGUUCCCACCCUCUAAGCAAAUUUGUUCCCCUGAUAAAGAGCCUGUCCUUAAGUGCUUUCUAAAAUCACCUGAUUAACAUAAACCCAAUUGUGGUGGAAAGAGGCUUAUUGUGAAUAACCAGACUCCCUUUUCACCUGCAGGGGUCUGCAGCAUUUUUUCUGAAACUGAGGACAAGAAACCAAAUAUCAUAACAAAGGAUGCUCCCCUGGGUCUUACUGUUGAGGAAAUUCCCAAGGGUUUGGGAACUGUGAGCCAGAAACUGUGGACAGAGAGACCCAAGGUAUUUACUGUGAGGUUUUGUGAGGCAGUCGGGGAUUUAGAAAGGGCUCAGGAUCUCUCAUGAGAUCACAAUCAGAUGCAAGCUAGGUGUGCAGUCAACUUGAGGUUUGGGGAGAAGCUACUCCCACAGUGGCUCAUUCACAUGGUUGGCAUGAUGAUCCGAGCAAUUGGCGGGAGGCUUCAGUUUCUCUCCUUGUAGGACUGCUUGAGUGUCCUCAGGAGAGGAAUGGCGACUCCCAAUCUAGAGGAAAGAACAAAGUAGCUGGAAAACUUAUGGGACAUAGCCACCUCUAAGACCUAUUGGAUGAGGCCUGAGAGAGGUGACUGGACAAAGCCAAUGGGAAAAAGGAAGAAAGUCUGGACCCCCCGUUGGUACCCCCAACCCUAAGAAAUAAAAACCUCCAUAAAACAAUAGGAAGGGGGGACUCAUCCUUCCCCUCCCAGUGUCUGUGCUGGGAGCUAUUUGCUGUCCUGUAAUAAAGACUUGGGCUUGCUUGCUGCCUGUGUGUUGAAGUUCAUUCUUCAGCUCCGAGAACAGAAACCUGGAUUCUGGUAAAAUCUUUCUGGUAACAAUCAUGACAUGAUAACUGGCUUCCCCCGGAAGAGCAAAGAGUCCAGGGUGUAAAGCUGCAAUGUGUUUAGACAAGCCUUAGAAUUCACGCACCACCACUUUCAUCACCUUCUGUUCAUCACACAGACCGGCCACGAUUAAAGGUGUGUACCAGGUGAGCAUCGCUGAGGGUAUUUUUUGAGGCUAGCGACCGCAUUCCAUCUGUUGGUUUUCCUCGUCUUUAACGAUUAAUGAUUAAUGAUUUAUCCUGGCGCUCUCUCCACCUCAUACAUACAUAGAAAAAAGCCUGAUUCUUUAUAAAGCUGUAAAAUGCUCUGUUAAAGGAUAUACUUUUCUUCCAUAGAUAAAAAUGUGUUGUUACAUUGACGUUUUUUGUCUCAUGUUGCUAGUAGAAAUAACACACUAGUAAAUAACCUGGCGCUUAUGUCCCUUCAAAGUGUUCAAGUUGUUAACUGGAGAUUGGCACUUGCCAUCUGCCUCUACAUGGACUGAAUCACGAGCCUCUGCAGCUGCUGAUCCUCAACACCCCCUGAGAGGAGCUGAAAGUGAAGAUCAGGUGUGAGGCAUUCAGUGCUCUGGGAAAACUGGCAGAGCAGGUCCUCAGGUAGAUGUUUUCAGGAGAUUUAAUGAGCCCAAUUCUUGUUAUCUCCUCAUAUCCAGAAAAGCACUCAGAUCCUGCCUGGUGACAUCUGCUCCUUGUGACUAACAGUAAACUUCAUGAGACUAGCAGCAACCGUCUGCAAAAUGUGUGCUUCACAGCAUGUGCCUCCCCCUUCCCUGAAAUCACAUAUGUAAUAAUAUUCUCCCCUUCCUCUUGGGAGAGCUCUCAGAAAUGCUGCCUCCUAGAAUAUACCCCAAAUAAAACUAAACUCUCAACUUUUAGGCUGUGCUUUUUUUUUUCUUUCCUCCUGUCUUUUUAUUUUUAGGGCAGCACCCGAGGCACAUGGAGGUUCCUGGGGCUAAGGGUCAAAUCGGCGCUGUAGCCGCUGGCCUACACCACAGCCACAGCA
rnacentral:lncRNA from 1 species